UUACAUUCACGGCGUGGAGAGUUGCUUUCACAGCUCGCUCACGACUUAAGCAUGCGUGUGCGACCCUUAUGAUAUUCGGCAAACUUUCAGAUAAAACUACAAGGUAAAAGUCAUCCAUACAUUGUUUUUUGAUAGCAUGCUUAUGAACUGAGAUAGUAGCAAGUGAAUGUAACUCUUUGCAAAUGGUGAAUGCCAUCCCUUGGUAUAUGCAGCUUGAAACGAUUUCAAAAUUAGGGAAUGCCAGACCAGCUACACUAACACAAGGAACCAAUGAGAUAUCUGCCGGGGAUCUUCAGUGUGUGAGCGUUGCACAUUGGAGUAAAUCAUAUCAAAACCUGAUCAUAAGUGGAUAUUAUUUCAUGCAAAAAAAAAAAAGAAGUUUAAAAUCGGUCAACUGGUUCAAAAGCUGUGAUUUUUUGAAAAAUUUUAGCUUCGAAAAAUCUUCAUUUUUACGAUCAUUAAAUUGGUCACCCUAAUGAUGAAAUAAAAAAAUACGGGUCUAAUUAUUUUCGAUAAACUACAAAACUACCAAGUAUCACGAUGUUCGGAGACACACUACAGGUCGGAGUUGAUUAUCCGGGGGUUCAAUUAACCGGGGGCCCGAUUAUCCGGGGCUCGAUUUUCCGGAAAAACCCGAUUUAAUCCACCUAUGGUGAACAGAACCCUUCUUACACUUAUUAAAAUUAUUGUUUAUUAUUUAUAUUUAAUGAAAAUGAAUUGAGUGAUGGACCAAAAGUUCUAGAAAAUAUUGUGGAUUUGGCAUCUAGUGGAUUGGUUUCCAAAAUAUCAUCGUGGACCAUGGACUAAACUACCAGAAAUGCCAGACAAAAAGAUAUCUUACUUAUUCUGGAAUUAUGUAUCUUUUGUUAACUGCCAAAAGAUCUUGAAUCGAUAAAGUCUAAUAUCUCUUAAUCAGUCGAAUAAAUUAGCUCCGAAGUACUUGGUAUUCAUGGUUAUGGUGUAAAAAGGACAAAAAUAAUAUAUCUACUAUGGGCUAAUCAGUUUUGGAAUUAGCUAGUUAUUUUGGCUGUCCAGUUCUUGCAUUUUUCCCACAAUAUAUAAAUUCAAAGCUCUCAUUUAAUAUAUUGUUAGUUUUCAUAGAAUUCCUGUUUAUUUGUAAUUUGUUAUUUAUAAUUUUAUUGAAAGCAAUUAUCUGCUAGUAUACACUUUAGAGAACCCAAAUCGGUUGACAGACGGCUGAGAUAUUUAUUAUGAUACACUUGGUCAAAAAUCUCUCAAAAGUUUAACCUGUAUUACUCCCAAGUACUCUUUGAAAGAUAUCUCGAUAACCAAAUGUCCAAUCCUAAUAAAAUUGUAUAGGGUUCUACUAGGAUGUUAUAGCUUUCAUUUGGUGCCAGGAGAACCGAAAUCGGUUGACAUACGGUUGAGAUAUUCAUUAUGAUACACUUUGUCAAAAAUCUCAAAAAGUUUAGUUGUAUAAAUCCUAAGUACUCUUCGAAAGAUAUCUCUGUAACCAAAUGUCCAAUCCUAAGAAAAUUUCUGAGCAAUCUACUAGGAUGUUGUAGCUUUCAUUUGGUGCCAAGAGAACCCAAAUCGAUUGACACACGGCUGAGAUCCCAAGUAACAAUCAGCAUGCCUUGAAGGUUUAUUCAUGUUUUAUCCUGGUUUUAUACGAGCAUGUCAAAAAGCUAGUUGUUCUAAAUUAGUUUUAUGUGGUAGUUUUUUACUUUGAACCUUUUGCGUUCCAUAAAACUAUCAUAUAACUUCUGCUAUAAACAUCUUCAGUUAAAGACUUGCAAGUAGACAUUAAUUGGUUUUAUCACUUAUUAUAUACCAUUCCAAUAAAACUUGCGUUUGCGGUUGUUGUCGGAGAGAUUUUUUUUGUAAACAAAUACACAAAACUGUGAGGCAAUGAAUAAAACCAACAAAAGAUUUCGCGGCCGUAACAUAAACCAAAAAAAUGCUGUGAUAAAACUGCUAGUUCUAUCAUGAGCUUAGUUAUGACUACCUCAGGAGGGUCAGCCCUAUUGAAGGAAUCAUCAGGAACACAGAGUUUUAUCAGAAAAAUAUGUCGCCUAGCCGGAAUAAUUUAUGUAAAUACAGAAAAAAUAUUACUCAAUUUUAUGAUUUCACGUACAGCUUAAGAUCAAAUUAAACCAUACAACACGUUUCCGUCAUUUUAUUUUGUUAGAAAAAAUACAUAAUGUCUUUUUAACUCCACUGUGUUGAAAAACCCUUUUUUGCACCCAUUUCCACCGAGUAAAUUAAAUGCAUUUAACUUCCAAAUUAUGCAUAGUUUGUGUGGCGCACUUAGUUUUUGUUAUUAUCACAGUCACAUUCACCACAAAUUUUCCGUGGCAUGUCUCCUGACACGUAUUAAAUAGGAAAACAAAUCUGAAUUCCAUAUCUGCAUCUUUCCAAUUGAUGGCUGGAUAAACAACGAAGCAUAAUUUAUUCUGACGAUCGAACAUUGAAAGUGAAAAAUAAUCAAAACAAUUAUUUGACAAGUCAGAAGAUGGUUUUAUUUAGAAGAUUGAUAAAACUAUGAUACAACCCGAAAUCCUAAGCCGGUUUGCAUACGAAGUCCUGUAGACCCUAAUAAGACUGGGCCAACUAGCCAGAACGUGGACUUAUUGAGGCAUACAAGAACUCGAGAGCAUUUUCAAGUCGGCAUCAAUGGUUUUAUGUUUAGGAUUUUUGAAUCGCUAAAAAACUUUGAUAAAAUUUAAAUUGUUACUUGGGAUGUUUAGUUUGAUACACUUUGUUAAAAAUCUCAAAAAGUUUAGUUGUAUAACUCCUAAGUACUCUUCGAAAGAUAUCUCAGUAACCAAAUCCAGUCGAAAUAAAAUUUCAGAGCGUUCUACUAGGAUGUUAUAGCUUUCAUUUGCUGCCAAGAGAACUCAAAUCGGUUGACAGACGGCUGAGAUAUUCAUCAAUAUGUUAAAUGUCAAAAAUCUCUCAAAAAGCUAACCUAUAUGACUUCAAAGUACUCAUCGAAAGAUAUCUCGGUAACCAAAUGUGUGAUCGUAAUAAAAUUCAAUACGGUUCUACUAGGAUGUUAUAGCUUUCAUUUGCAACUAAGAAAAUCCAAAUCGGAUAUCAGACGGCUGAGAAACGCGCGUGACUUUUUUUGUAACAUACGCACACACACAUACACACACACAUACACACACACAUACAUACACACACACAGACAUUUGCUCAGUUGGUCGAGCUGAGUUGAUUUUUUAUAUGAGACUCGGCCCUGCGGGCCUCGGAUCGAAAGUCGGUUUUUCGAGCGGUAUUUAUACCCUUCUUAUGGGUGUAAGAAGGGUAAAAAUGGCUCGAUUAUCCGGGAACCAAAUAAUUUUUCGUUUUAUUUGCAUGAUUUUAGAUGGCAAUAUGUCAAAAGAUGUAGCAAAUGUCAACUACAACACCCAUAAAUCAGAUUCAGCCUAUUUGAGAAUUAUUUUUAUUAUGCAGAUUUUUCAGCCAAAUUCCAUUUUCAACAAAUACGGUUAUAAUCAUGCCAGCCGUUGAAUUUAAGGACUACAACAUCAUACAAGCUUACUUCUAUGUUUACCCAACUAAUUUUGAUUGAUAAAUCUUAAAAAUAAAAUAAAAAAAUCUGGCCCGAUUAUCCGGGGUGAUUUUUUUUUCGGAGUCACCCGGAUAAUCGAGUCCGACUUGUAUAUCAAUUUUCUAUGGAAUGGUGGUAUAAUUAUUUAAAAAAAAAGCUUGUUGAAGUCGGUUAGAUUGUUUGUUUCCUACUGCUAGGUGAAUUUAUUGUUAUAAAAUUCAUUGAAAACUAUAGAAUACGAUUCAUUACUAAUUUAGGUUGUAUUUGGGGUUCGAAAAUACGUCAAAAUAAUUUUGAUCAGUUUUGAUGUACUAGGUGCUCCACUGUGCGUUGGUGAUCUUCUAUUCUUAGGUGAUCUUCUAUUCUAUUCUUGAGAAAUUCUUCAACACAGCUGAAAACCCAGACAUCCUAAUCAUUCCAUCGGACAAAGGAAACAAAAAACAAAACCUCGGAAGACUACAAAAGAAAAAUGUUGGCCCUUGUAGGGGACCAACAGACAUACGAACGGAUCCCACGACUCUACAAACCGAUACCAGAGCCAUAACAACAGUAUCGUACAAUGUCUCCAUGCGCUUAAAUUGGUAGAUGACAAAACAGUCCGAUCGCUUAAAACCUACUCAGCAGUGUGCCCGAGAAUUUAUGGACAACCCAAGGCCCACAAAGCAAGUUUACCACUCCACCCGGUCGUUCCCAAGAUGAUUGCUCCAUCGUACAAGCUUGCUAAGUUCGUCGGCAGCAUAAAUCGAUCAAGAGUCCAUACAACAUCAAGGACUCCUUCUCGUUCUGCGACUUCAAUCCCGUUCGAACUUUUGCUGCAGUUGUUAGAUGUCUAAAACAACAAAUUCAAGUGAUAAGAUUAAGAUAUUUUAGUUUUGUAUUUUCUUAUAAUUUUUUAGUAGAACAAUAUUGCUCAAGUUAGAAUAAGCGUGUUCUUCUAGCUCGGUUCUCUUUCUCGGCUUGUUUCCAAUGCUCCGAGUUAGUUUGGGGUUUGUAGGUAGUAAGCUUAUGGACUCCUCCAACUAUUCAAGGAAGCAAAGCUACUACGUUCAGCAUGAUUGCCUUCGAAAAGCUAGUUUUUGGAACGCAUUUGGCUUUCCCGAAUUUUAAGAAUUUGUGCUGGUGCCGAAGAGCAAAUAACCAUAAUACUACAGAGAAUAUGAUUCCGUUUUGGAUAAUUUAACUCAAAACGUAUGUUGGAGUGUUCCAGAACGAAUUUUAUCAAAAAUUCUGCUUUCUAAAGUACUUCCGAUUGCAAAUGGUAUUAUUCGAUUAUUUUUAGUGUUGUUUUGUUUUUUUUUUAAUUCGAAAAUAGCAAAAAAAACCUGAUUUAAUCCACCUAUGGUGAACAGAACCCUUCUUACACUCAUUAAAAUUAUUGUUGUAUUAUUCGUAUGCAUGAUUGUGAUUUUUGGGUGAAGGAAGGGUAAAAAGGAAUUUAUUGAGAUUACUCCCAAAUACUCUUCAAAAGAAAUCUCGGUAACUAAAUGUCCAAUCAAAAUAAACUUCGAUACAAUUGUACGAGGAUGUUGUAGCUUUCAUUUGAUGCUAAGAGAACCCGAAUCGGUUGACAGACGACUGAGAAAUUUAUUAUGAUACAUUUUAUCAAAAAUCUCUCAAAAGCGUAAAUUUCAUUACUCCUUAGUACUCGUGGAAAGAUAUCUCGGAAACAAAAUGUCCAAACGGCAUGAAAUUUAAUAGCAUACUACUUGGAUGCUGUAGCUUUCAUUUGAUGCUGAGAGAACUCAAAUCGAUUGACACACGGCUGAUUCAUUUAUUAUGAAGCAUUUUGUCAAAGACCUCUUAAAAAGUUAAGUUGUAUUACUCCAAAGUACUCCCCGAAAGAUAUCUCGGUUACAAAAUGUCCAAUCGGAAUGAAAUUCAAAAGCGUUCUUCUAGGAUGCAGUAGCUUUCGUUUCGGGCCUUAAGAACCCGAAUCGGUUGAUAGACGGCUGAGAAAUUUAUGGUGAUACACUUUGUCAAAAGUAUCUAAAAUAAUUAAGUUGUACUACUCCCUAGCACUCUUUGAAAGAUAUCUCGGUAACCGAACGUCCAAUCAAAAAAAAAAAUUCUAUAUCGUUCUACUAGGAUGUAGUAGCUUUCGUUUGGGGCCUUAAGAACCCAAAUCGGUUGAUAGACGGCUGAGAAAUUUAUGGUGAUACACUUUGUCAAAAGUAUCUAAAAUAAUUAAGUUGUACUACUCCCUAGCACUCUUUGAAAGAUAUCUCGGUAACCGAACGUCCAAUCAAAAUAAAAUUCAAUAGCGUUCUACUAGGAUGUAGUAGCUUUCAUUUGCUUCCAAGAGAACUCAAAUCGGUCAACAGACGGCUGAGAACCGUGAGUGACAUUUUUUUGUAACAUACAUACACACACACACACACACACACACACACACACACACACACACACACACACACACACACACACACACACACACACACACACACACACACACAUACACACACACACGCACAUACAGACAUUUGCUCAAUUCGUCGAGCUGAGUUGAUUGGUAUAUGUGACUCGGCCCUGCGGGCCUCGGAUCGAAAGUCGGUUUUCCAAGCGGUAUUUAUACCCUUCUUAUGGGUGUAAGAAGGGUAAAAAGGCUUUUCCUACAUACAUUCCGUGAUAUUUUUGCUACUGUUUAUUAAGCUCAAAUAUUACAAAGAGAUAGUAGCUUUUAUAUAUUUGAUGCAAUUGCAUUUUCAUGCAGAGCUCCUUGAGAAACCAAAUUUGAUCAUAAAA